AUGCAAGUCGAGCGGUAGCACAGAGAGCUUGCUCUCGGGUGACGAGCGGCGGACGGGUGAGUAAUGUCUGGGAAACUGCCUGAUGGAGGGGGAUAACUACUGGAAACGGUAGCUAAUACCGCAUAACGUCGCAAGACCAAAGUGGGGGACCUUCGGGCCUCAUGCCAUCAGAUGUGCCCAGAUGGGAUUAGCUAGUAGGUGGGGUAACGGCUCACCUAGGCGACGAUCCCUAGCUGGUCUGAGAGGAUGACCAGCCACACUGGAACUGAGACACGGUCCAGACUCCUACGGGAGGCAGCAGUGGGGAAUAUUGCACAAUGGGCGCAAGCCUGAUGCAGCCAUGCCGCGUGUGUGAAGAAGGCCUUCGGGUUGUAAAGCACUUUCAGCGGGGAGGAAGGCGGUGAGGUUAAUAACCUCAUCGAUUGACGUUACCCGCAGAAGAAGCACCGGCUAACUCCGUGCCAGCAGCCGCGGUAAUACGGAGGGUGCAAGCGUUAAUCGGAAUUACUGGGCGUAAAGCGCACGCAGGCGGUCUGUCAAGUCGGAUGUGAAAUCCCCGGGCUCAACCUGGGAACUGCAUUCGAAACUGGCAGGCUAGAGUCUUGUAGAGGGGGGUAGAAUUCCAGGUGUAGCGGUGAAAUGCGUAGAGAUCUGGAGGAAUACCGGUGGCGAAGGCGGCCCCCUGGACAAAGACUGACGCUCAGGUGCGAAAAGCGUGGGGAGCAAACAGGAUUAGAUACC
rnacentral:rRNA from 1 species